AGGAUUAACGCUGGCGGUGUGCCUAAUACAUGCAAGUCGAACGAGUCCCGCCUCGGCGGGACUAGUGGCGGACGGGUGAGUAACACGUUGGUACCUGCCCCAAAGUGGGGGAUAACUGCCCGAAAGGGUAGCUAAUACCGCAUGUGGUCUUCGGACUAAAGCCUUCGGGCGCUUUGGGAGGGGCCUGCGUCUGAUUAGCUAGUUGGUAGGGUAAUGGCCUACCAAGGCGACGAUCAGUAGCUGGUUCGAGAGGAUGACCAGCCACACGUGGACUGAGAUACGGCCACGACUCCUACGGGAGGCAGCAGUAAGGAAUCUUCCACAAUGGACGAAAGUCUGAUGGAGCAACACCGCGUGCAGGAUGACGGCUUUCGGGUUGUAAACUGCUUUUAUAGAGGAAGAUUAUGACGGUACUCUAUGAAUAAGGACCGGCUAACUACGUGCCAGCAGCCGC
rnacentral:rRNA from 1 species